AGAGGUCCCAAGCGUUGUUCGGAUUUACUGGGCGUAAAGGGUGCGUAGGCGGCCAAAAAAGUCCGAUGUGAAAUCUCGGAGCUCAACUCCGAAACUGCAUAGGAUACUAAUUGGCUUGAGGAAUGGAAGGGAGAUUGGAAUUCUCGGUGUAGCAGUGAAAUGCGUAGAUAUCGAGAGGAACACCAGUGGCGAAGGCGAAUCUCUGGACAUUUCCUGACGCUGAGGCACGAAAGCCAAGGGAGCAAACGGGAUUAGAUACCCCGGUAGUCUUGGCUGUAAACGGUGCACAUUUGCUGUGAGCGGAAUCGACCCCGCUUGUGGCGUAGCUAACGCGAUAAAUGUGCCGCCUGGGGAGUACGGUCGCAAGAUUA
rnacentral:rRNA from 1 species